rnacentral:rRNA from 1 species
CUGCCAGACUCCUACGGGAGGCAGCAGUGGGGAAUAUUGGGCAAUGGGCGCAAGCCUGACCCAGCAACGCCGCGUGAAGGAAGAAGGCCCUCGGGUUGUAAACUUCUUUUAUCAGGGACGAAACAAAUGACGGUACCUGAUGAAUAAGCCACGGCUAACUACGUGCCAGCAGCCGCGGUAAUACGUAGGUGGCAAGCGUUAUCCGGAUUUACUGGGUGUAAAGGGCGUGUAGGCGGGUCUGCAAGUCAGAUGUGAAAUUCCAGGGCUCAACCCUGGAACUGCAUUUGAAGCUGUUUUUCUUGAGUACUGGAGAGGCAGACGGAAUUCCUAGUGUAGCGGUGAAAUGCGUAGAUAUUAGGAGGAACACCAGUGGCGAAGGCGGUCUGCUGGACGGCAACUGACGCUGAGGCGCGAAAGCGUGGGGAGCAAACAGGAUUAGAUACCCUUGUA